rnacentral:rRNA from 1 species
UACGAAGGGGGCUAGCGUUGCUCGGAAUCACUGGGCGUAAAGCGCACGUAGGCGGCUUUUUAAGUCGGUGGUGAAAUCCUGGAGCUCAACUCCAGAACUGCCUCCGAUACUGAAAGGCUCGAGUCCGGGAGGGGUGAGUGGAACUGCGAGUGUAGAGGUGAAAUUCGUAGAUAUUCGCAAGAACACCAGUGGCGAAGGCGGCUCACUGGCCCGGUACUGACGCUGAGGUGCGAAAGCGUGGGGAGCAAACAGG